rnacentral:rRNA from 1 species
CCUACGGGGGGCAGCAGUGGGGAAUAUUGCACAAUGGGCGCAAGCCUGAUGCAGCCAUGCCGCGUGUGUGAAGAAGGCCUUCGGGUUGUAAAGCACUUUCAGCGGGGAGGAAGGCGGUGAGGUUAAUAACCUCAUCGAUUGACGUUACCCGCAGAAGGAGCACCGGCUAACUCCGUGCCAGCAGCCGCGGUAAUACGGAGGGUGCAAGCGUUAAUCGGAAUUACUGGGCGUAAAGCGCACGCAGGCGGUCUGUCAAGUCGGAUGUGAAAUCCCCGGGCUCAACCUGGGAACUGCAUUCGAAACUGGCAGGCUAGAGUCUUGUAGAGGGGGGUAGAAUGCCAGUUGUAGCGGUGAAAGGCGUAGAGAUCUGGAGGAAUACCGGUGGCGAAGGCGGCCCCCUGGACAAAGACUGACGCUCAGGUGCGAAAGCGUGGGGAGCAAACAGGAUUAGAUACCCCAUAGUC